GUCAAACAGUAUCACAUGCUACAGACAAGUCUUUUGUGAAAGGGAUAGUCAAUUGAUGUGGCAAACUUCACUGUUGUGUUAUUUUAAGAAAUUGCCACAGUCACCCAAACCUUUAGCAACCAACCACCCUAAUCAGUCAGCAGCCAUCAACAUUGAGGUAAGGCCCUCCACUAGCAAAACGAUUACAGCUUACUGAGGGCACUGAUGAUUGUUAGCAAUUUUUUGGCAAUAAAGUAUUUUUAAAUUAAGGUAUGGACUUUUUUUAGACAUGAUGUUAUUGUACACUUAAUGGACUGCAGUAUAGUGUGGAUAUAACUUUUUUUUUUUUUUUUAAAAGGGAGUCUUGCUCUGUCUCCCAGGCUGGAAUGCAGGUGCAGUCUUGGCUCACUGCAACC
rnacentral:lncRNA from 10 species